rnacentral:rRNA from 1 species
GAUGGAAUCAUCACUAGGAGGAUGACCCGGGGGGGCCCCCUUUGGUGGUAACGCGAAAGCGUGUACGCGCCGUCACUCUUACCCUUUUUUUACGAGUACCUUCGUUCUCCUUCGGUGGGGCAACCUGCCGCUGGAAUCAACAAAACCUUUUUUGCAUCUAGCAUUACCUGUUCUGAUACAAAUAAUCGUUACAACUUUCAACAAUGGAUCUCUUGGCUCUGGCAUCGAUGAAGAACGCAGCGAAAUGCGAUAAGUAGUGUGAAUUGCAGAAUUCAGUGAAUCAUCGAAUCUUUGAACGCACAUUGCGCCCCUUGGUAUUCCAUGGGGCAUGCCUGUUCGAGCGUCAUCUACACCCUCAAGCUCUGCUUGGUGUUGGGCGUCUGUCCCGCCUCUGCGCGUGGACUCGCCCCAAAUUCAUUGGCAGCGGUCUUUGCCUCCUCUCGCGCAGCACAAUUGCGUUUCUUGAGGGGGUGGGUCGCAUCCACGAAGCAACAUUACCGUCUUUGACCUCGGAUCAGGUAGGGAUACCCGCUGAACUUAAGCAUAUCAAUAAGCGGAGGAAGAUCUUAUCUCUCACUGAGCGGCCGCAUUGGUGGUACAAAGGUGUCCCCUCUUUCUUUUUUUAAGUCUUCUUCUGCGGGGGCAGCUGAACAAUUGCCUCUCUUUUAAAAAACUCAUUCAGGAUCUGGCUGGCAAAAACACAGG